UAAACACAUCAUGCUACUGUGCAGGUAGUUGAAGCAUAAAAACAUCGCACUGUGUAUUAGCCAUGCAUAUGGGUGAGAAUUAGGCUAAUAAAAAUUCACUGAAAGUGUUUUGCCCUGAAGAAAGCAAGGUGCCUGCCAUUUCUUGGAGUUUAUGUGUUGACAGUGUUAAAAAAAAAACUGGAGUGUACAAAGAAAGUUGUCUUGCUUCCUACUUUAUAGCCUCCAUCUGGUCAGGAAAGGAGUAAAUUGACCACAUCUGCUGCAAAUCUGUAGCUGUACUAUUGGACCUUUCAGCUUUGUCACUAACUCUGUCUUAUCCCCAAGAUCUGGGAUACUAUAUCCUGUACAGGAGUAUGCCAAUUUUCACAACUUUUGUACUCUUCUCUAGCAUUCUUCAAAUUCAUAUUCCCUUGGGCAUCCUAUAGGAUAAGAGUUGGAAAAAUUUUUAUUUAAAGCAACAGAUAAUAAAUGCAGAAGAAGGCUUCAAAGGUGGAAGAAGAUGUGAGCCUGGGUGAUUGAAAAAUAGAUGUGCCAUUACCCUGAAAUAGGACUUCUUCAAGGCAAAGGCUGAUACAGUGGUGGCUACAGUCUAUGUUGUGAUUUGAUGGAACUUUUCACUUUUCACCAUUCAAACCAGUAUCCAGAGGUACAGUUGCUGCAUAACUUCCUCAUUAUCCAUAGGACCAAACUAAAUGUCUCUGGUUUGAAAUUUUGACUAGAAAUUAUAUACAUCUGCCAGCAAUUAUUGUGGGUGUAACUGAAGUGCACACUGAAAACUUUCAAGUGAUCUACAAUCUCCCAGACUACUUUUACAAUGGAUUUUACACCUUAUGAAUAUUUAUCAUGUUGUAAAAUGUACUAUAAUAGACUAAAUGAUGAUUUAGAUAUUAGAAACAAACAUACUCCUUUUUAAAAAAUUUAUGUUUAAGAGGAGGGAGAUGAAUAAUACACAAACAGAUGAGCAUAGACAACAUGGCAGGUUGUUACAAAUGCAUUAAGGCAGUGCUGUAGACUGAAUGUAUACUCUCGAAAUUCAUAUGUUGAAAAUCUUACCUCCAGUGUGUUGGUAUUAGGAAGUGGGGCCAUUGGGAGGUUAUUAGUUCAUAAGGGUAGAAACUUCAUAUGAGAUUAGCGUUCCUAUAAAAGGGAAUCCAGAGAGCUUCCUUGUCCAUUCCAUGAGGAGACAGUGAAAAGACAGUCAUCUGUGAACUAGGAUGCAGGCCCCCAUCAGACACUGAAUUUGCCAAUCCCUUGAUUUCCCAGCCUCCGGAACUGUGGGAAAUCUAUUUUUGUUCUUUAUAAGUAACCCAGUGUAUGGUUCUGUGAUAGCAUCUCAAACAGACUGAGAGAGGCAGCAUAAAAGAAGAUAUCAGACAGAAAAAUAGUAUUCUGACUUGCUCUGGAUAACCUGUUGAAUACAGGUGUUAGGAAAAAAUGAUUGGAAGCUGAUAUGGUUUGGCUCUGUCUCCCCACCCAAAUCUCAUCUUGAAUUGUACUCCCAUAAUUCCCACAUGUUGUGGGAGGGACCUGGUGGGAGAUAAUUGAAUCAUGGGGGCAGUUUCCCUCAUACCAUGGUUUGAUAAGGGGAAACUCUUUUUGCUUGGCUCUCAUUUGACACAAAGGAUAUAUUCAUUUAUUUUCUUAAUGUUUGAUGAAUGAACAAAUUACUUGAAAACAUAAAAUUUUUAUUUCUUGUAUUCCACAAUAAUAUAAGUUCCAGUGGAGACAUAGAUUUUUCUUUGUUAUCACUGAAUCCUCAGCAUCCAGAAAAAGCCAGGACAAAAUGUUGAAUGAACAGAUUCUUGUUCUGUUCUUCCUACUGAUACUUCUGGUCUCUGUAUCUGGUUCUGGUUAGUCCUGAUCACAAGGUCCCAUAAUAGGCUGUCUGCAAGCUGAGGAGCAAGGAAGCGAGUCUGAGCCCAAAAGCUGAAGAACUUGGAGUCCAAUGUUCAAGGGCAGGAAGCAUCCAGCACGGGAGAAAGAUGUAGGCUGGGAGGCUAAGCCAGUCAAGUGUUUUCACGUUCUUCUGCCUGCUUUUAUUCUGGCCAUGCUGGCAGCUGAUUAGAUUGUGCCCACCCAGAUUAAGGGUGGGUCUGCCUUCUGCAGUCCACUAACUCAAGUGUUAACCUCCUUUGGCAAGUUUAGAUACGUUCACAGAGCCCCUUCAAUAUUAGAGCACAGUGAAUAAGAGCAGAAUGAAGCUCUCAGAAAAAUAAGAAUUGCAUUGGAAUCCCACCUCCACCACUCACUGUCUGUGUAACACUGAGCCUCAAACUUUAGUUUCUAUGUCUAGCAACCGGAGACUGCAGUAGUGCCUACUUAUAGUUAGAAUCGUGAGAUCAUGCACUAAGCACAGAGCUUAGGGUCAGUAAGUGGGCUCCUUCUUUUUCUCCCUUUUUCUUCUUCUUCCAUCGACUGUCUAAAUCGCAUCAAACUCAUUAUUUUGGUCAUAUAUAAUAGAUCCUUUAUGUUUUUGAUGAUUUGAUUUCAGAUUCUCUUUCUUGACAGAGGUUGAUCUGGCCUACGUAUGGUAUGCCAGGAAGGAUCAAUAGGGCUACAGAAUUUUAGGCAAGGAGAAGAUAACUUCUUGUGCUCUCUUAUGGUCAAUUUCUCUGUUAAAAUGUGAAAUUCUGCCAUUCCUUUAAGGAAGGUGGUAAUAUCAUG
rnacentral:lncRNA from 1 species